CUGGGAUUAGAUACCCCACUAUGCCUAGCCGUAAACAUAAAUAGCACGUUACAUUGCUAUUCGCCCGGGUACUACGAGCACCAGCUUAAAACCCAAAGGACUUGGCGGUGCUUCAGACCCCCCUAGAGGAGCCUGUUCCAGAACCGACACUACCCGUUCAACCUCACCCUUCCUAGUUCUUUUUCCGUCUAUAUACCGCCGUCGCAAGCUUACCCUCUGAGGGUACCGUAGUAAGCUCAAUCGGCACAGCCCAGAACGUCAGGUCGAGGUGUAGCUUAUGGAAGGGGCCGGAAAUGGGCUACAUUCCCUGGUACAGGGAACACGGAUAUUACGUUGAAACACGUAAUUGAAGGUGGAUUUAGCAGUAAGCAGCAAGUAGAGUGUCCUGCUGAAGCCGGCAAUGAAGCGCGUACACACCGCCCGUC
rnacentral:rRNA from 1 species